GGACGCAUCUCUGGAGAGAAUUCCGUGGCCGCGCACAGGCGCGCAUGGAAUCACCCAAGGGGAAACUCGCGGAGCGGGAAGCGAGGCAACUCUCAGGUACAAAGGACAGAGCGGAAGAA
rnacentral:ncRNA from 1 species